rnacentral:lncRNA from 1 species
GCACAUCAGGCCUGUCAGAGUAGGGAGGGCCCCAUCUCUCUCUCAUCAAGGAAUACAAGCAGAAUUGGCAUACUGUCCUCUGGAAGGCUGCCUGCGGCCGCACCUCACCCCUCUGGCACUCUGGACAGGCUGGCCUUCCGGGCAGCUUCUGCCCCAGUUGCCCUGGUGUCCUCUGAGGAAGCACUGUGGAGAGGCAGGGAGGCAGAAGGCGCUGUGCUCUGGCUAGAACUGUGCAAUGCCUUGGUCACGGCUCCUCGAGCCAUCACUGCCCAGCGGCAUUGCUGCAUUUUGAGUCACGCUGCCAGCAGCAAUGAGACAUCUAUAGACUCUUGUCUGUGCAGGAUCAGAAAUGGGAGUAAGGACUCCUUGGUUCUGACCUAGCAGGUCUCUAAGAAACAAGAUCACAGCUGUAUCUGCCAGCAAAGAUUUAACUCUUGUUUCCAAAGCAUCAGCUGGCAAAUUAAUUAGUUCUUAGUGGCCAGCAGAGCAAUGGUGGUAAAGCGGGAGGGAGUCUCAUGGGCUGCUCCCCAUCUAGGUCCUGGGCUUGGCCUCUUGGAGAUAACUUUCUCUCGUUGGAGUGAGGCUCCGUGACAGCAGGAGUAUGUCCCUUGUUCACUCCUUUCUCAGCACCUGGAAUAGCACCAGGCAGAGGUGGCAUUCAGUCAGUAUUUGUGGGAUGAAUGAAUCCACCGCUGAAAUCUGGCCCGGGCUGGAGAAUGGGCUGGCCUCCUGUUCUGGAGGACAGAGCCCUUUGCAGUUCCACUCAGAGAAGGCCUUGGGCUGGAGAGAAUCAGUGUUAUUGCUCCUCUCUCAUCUUUCUUCUGUAAUUGAGUCAUCACUGAAGACUCAGAGACAGGAGAAAGCAAAACAGUGCAGGGCUCCCUCAGCUUUGUGGGGUGGGGGGCAGUAUUAGAAAGUGCAUAAUAAGGAUGUCGCCUUCUGGGUGUGUGGGGAACCCUGUUGAGGCAAAUCCGCAUAUAUUUGCAUACAUAUAUACACGCACCCUAACCUGCAAAGGGACGCCUAGCUCUUGCCACCUAUGAAAAGACUAAUCCUUCUAUUCUCUCCAGGAUGUGCUGAAUCAAAACUUAACUGCUAAUGUUCUAGAAAUCUUAGGGGGAAAAACACAAAAUGAACAUGCCAUUUAAAUUUUAAGUUUAAAAAUGUCAUUUUUGGUUUACAUUUUUUAAACUAGAAAAGAGCCUAUCUUGAAGACUUUCCAGGGUGGGAGAAAGGGAUACAGGCAAAGAUAAACUCAAUCCUGAACCUUCCGUUGAAAAGGAGACUGGAUCUACUGUUUCCUUCUUUCUCUGUGUGCCGUGCAGUAGCUCAACCCCGUCCUAACAAGAGGGCUAACACGGCUUGGAGAAAUUGGGUCUCUUCUUUUUCCAGAAUCAUCACACGUUUUCCGAAGGAAAAAUGGACUCUCACUUUCGAAAACACAAAACCACGUUUGCUUUACGUGCCGUAGAAAAGAACUCUGCGCGCCACGCGGAGAGCAGGCUGGGCGCCGGGAGCCGGCGAGCCGAGCGCCGCGGCGUGUUGUGUAACCGGCCCGGGAAUCACGUUGCACUGCCGAGUUCCACGGGCUCUUAGUGCAUUAAUAAGCUUGAUCUUUUUAUUCAAAUACAAGGAGCAACCACAGCCGGCUCCAGGUCACGUGUCCUGAUCACAUGGUGCUCAGACGCCGAAACCGGCUGGCGAUCAUUAACUAGUGCUUACUCCCGGGAGAGAAUGCAGGUUUUAAAGAGACGAACUCUUAUUUUUAUAAAACAGCCAGGACUGCAAUAGAAGGUGUGUUUUGUUUCGCAUUAUACGAAGAAUACUUUCCAAAAACACUGUGCAAAAUGGCCUCAGCCUUACAGGAAAAACCACCCGUGAUGCCCACAGUAUCUCUGGGGCUGACGCUGCAGGACACACUCGUGUUGUAAUGUGACCUCUGGAUCUGAGCCUACACAUCUCCGUGCUGGGUAAUUGUGUCAACCUCCUGCCUGGUCGAAUGAUUCUGGAAACAGUAUAGCAAGCAUCCACUUUAGAAUCUCCUUCUAGCUCUUUCUGGGAAGUACAGAUGCCCUCUCCCUGAGAACUUCUAUGGUCGUCAUCAAAGUUGUGCUCUCCAGAGAAAGCUCAGCUCACCACCAGUGACCCAUCAGGGUUCUUGGCCUCAGGAUCCCCGAGGGCGGCUCAUGGCGUCAGUUCAGGAGGACAGUUGGAGAACCACUGACUGAAAUGAUGACAUUUCUUGCUUCUUUAACUGUCCAACAGCAGCUGUGUUUAUAUUCCUGACCCGAGUCAUGGGAGACUCUGGAGAUAUCAAAAUGCUGCAGAAAAGCAAAUGGAAUAUGGAUUUGCCAGGGAGAGGAGAGCAGGCUGGAAAGGAACAGCUGGGGAGAGAGCCAUCAAUCCAGCACGGCAGCAGGGCCAGACGGACGCCGAGAGGGAGCCGCUAAAUGCCUGUGAGAGUCGUGACCAGUGAAAGCAGCAUAUUUCUGCCAAGAAAUGUGAUAUGUUGAAAAAGAAGAGGAAAUAUACUCUGGAGGCUGUGACUAUAAAAGGCUGUUUAAAGUGAUCGGAAUCAGUCGAGGUUCUCCCAGCAACCGUGGUUAUAAAAUUAGGAUCUUAAACUACCAAAUCUGGGUGAGAAAAAAAACUUCAGUAAAAGCGACAUCUAAAUUUAUGUUAUAUAACUUACAUUUCCCCACAGUGUUUGUCUUUUCUCUGGGCACGUCAGACCUUUUAUGUCGUUAAUUUCCGACCCUAAGAGCCAUUCCUAUUGGAGCAAGGCAGCGAGAUGGGGUGAGGGGGCACCGUGAGAAAGCACGGGUGUCUUUCCUGUGACCUCUGAAUCGGAAAGAGGGCGCCACGGUGAGAUGCCGACAUGUGCACGUGGGGUGUGUCAGUGUGUUGAUACCCGUGCUCAGGAUGCUGAACAAAACCUGGGUGGGAGGAGCUUUCCCCACCCAGGCCUUUGUCUCACUGGAAAUCUGAUGCCUUAACCCUCCGCCUCAACCCUCAGUGACUCCAGUCUGUAGCUGUACUGCUCUGUUAGUCAGCCCGCACAGCAUCUGAGACUUGGCCUUUUGCAGCCUGGUGCUAGCUCCAUAGGCUUCUUCGCCCCCCUUUGUCGAGGUCUUCAGCAACAGUUGAAGCUACAACUUCUGCUCCAAGUGACUCGGGGCUGUGAAUCGUCAGAGAAUCCAUUAUUUCUCCCUGGUUUUGGAGCUGACAGACAUGGGUGUGAAGCUCAGGUCCGUCGCUUAUUGGCCAAUUAGGAAAACUCUGUGAACACUGAUUUUCUUGCCUUGAAGGAUGGCACAGAGCUGAUACGCACGAGCUAUAAUUAGCUGCUUAACAUUUUUGCCAGUGACUUGAAUGGACCUUGAUGGUGAGAUUGCCAAGUCAUCAGGCAACCAGUUACCUUCUAACCCAUAGAAGGAAACAAACAACAGACUCAAGGUCUCAAAGGCUGUGUUUUUGUCCCAAAUCAACUUUCCAAGUACAGAACUGGGGGACAUGUGAUUUAAUGGCAGCACCUGUGUGAUCCUGUGAUAUAAUAAGAAAUAUGUAUUUUGUCUUCAUCCCUCGUUCCUGGUACCAGAUCUUCUAAAACCCUUGGAAUUUCCUGAGUGACAGGGAUGACAGGAGCAUCUUUGUUAUUUAUAAUAAGCCCCUUUCAACCAUACUUGAGUUUAUGCUAAUGAAGUGACCCUUGUGGUGGUGGUGGGGGGGUCCCUUGAGAGCUUCAGGAUGGGAGCUCAUUGCCAGAGGAAGCCUAUGUGAUUAGAGGGUUGGAACUUUCAGCCCGACCCCCGACCUCCAGGGAGGGGAGAGGGACCAGAGAUUGAGCUAAUCACCAAAGGCCGGUGAUUUAAUCACUCAUACUUAUGUAAUGAAACCUCCCUAAAACCCCCUAAACCCUGGGGUUUGGAGAGCUCCUGGGUUGGUGAACACACUGAGGUCCUGGGAGGGUGACUGCCCAUGGAGGGCAUGGAAGCUCCCCCCUCCCCCUCCCCUAAUACCUUGUCCCAUGUCUCUCUUCCAUUUGUUCAUUCGUAUCUUUUAUAAUAUCCUUCACAAUAAACUAGUAGUAGUGAGUAACGUGUUCGCCUGAGUUCUGUGAGUUGUUAUAGCAAAUUAUUGAACCUAUGAUAGUCGGCUGGUCAGAAGUACAGGAGGCUCUGGGACUCGUGUGUGGCAUCUGAAGUGGGAGCAGUUUUGUAGGAUUGAGCCCUAACCUGUGGGAUCUGUGCUAACUCUGGAGGGUUGGUGUCAGAACUGAGUUAAAUUGUGGAACACCUAGUCGGUGUCCAGAGAUUUGGAGAAUUUGUUGGUGUGGGGAAAAACUCCCACUCAUUUGGUGUCAGAAGUGUUGUGAAUAGAAGAAGAUCAUAACCUGUGAAAUAGAUUUAGGAGUCUGGCACACAGUGAGCCCCUGUAGGGACAGAGCCAGG